UACGAAGGAUGCGAGCGUUAUCCGGAUUUAUUGGGUUUAAAGGGAGCGUAGGCGGUCUUAUAAGUCAGUGGUGAAAUCUCGUUGCUUAACAACGAACGUGCCAUUGAUACUGUAGGACUUGAGUACAGUUGCCGUUGGCGGAAUGUGUCAUGUAGCGGUGAAAUGCAUAGAUAUGACACAGAACACCGAUUGCGAAGGCAGCUUGCUAAACAAAUAUUGACGCUGAGGCACGAAAGCGUGGGGAUCAAACAGG
rnacentral:rRNA from 1 species